ensembl:snRNA U6 U6 spliceosomal RNA
GUACUUGCUUCAGCAGCACAUAUACUAAAAUUGGAACGAUACAGAGAAGAUUACCAUGCCCCUGGGUAAGGAUGAACUGUAUGGGCAAAAUAUUAUAUAUAUAUAU